GGAGGUGGAUGGUGGAACCCAAGGCCCGACACUUCCCGCGUUUCUUCGGGCGCCCUCCGCUUCUCCUAACCCAAGGCCUCACCCUUCCCGGCCCUCUGCUGCACGGGAAAUAGGACAUCCUGUUAAGAGCCCCGGACCUGGGAAGACGCCUGGGAAGACUGUCCUCAGCCUGGAGGCCCAACUCACCGCAUGCACCUUACUUCGGUUCCUCCCGACCCCUGAGCCCCCACAGAAUGGCAGAUGGAGGAGGAAGCCCCUUUCUGGGACGUAGAGAUUUUGUCUACCCUUCCUCAGCCCGAGAGCCUAGUGCCUCUGAAAGGGGUAGCAGCCCUGCGAGGAAGGAGGAGAAGAAGAGGAAGGCUGCCCGGCUCAAGUUUGACUUCCAGGCG
rnacentral:lncRNA from 1 species